rnacentral:rRNA from 1 species
CCUUCAAUAGUACUAGGGGAACCUGUGUGGUAAUCGACACUCCACGUUAAUUCUCACCUUCUCUUGAAACUCUCAGUAUGUAUACCUCCGUCUUAACUCACCUUUAAGAGCCUUGGAGUGAGUAAGAAGUAAAUAACUACUCCAUGACAGGUCAAGGUGCAGCCUAUGAGAAGGGUCAUCAUGGGUGACAAUUCACUAAAAGAUCAAUGGACUUCCCUUGGAAACAAGGGAAUGAAAAUGGACUUAGAAGUAAAGGUAUCUUUAGAAAAAUACCUUGAAAUACUCCCUAGAAGGUGCACAAAUC